GGGUGUGUAAGCGCAGCGAUGCGUUGAGCUUACCGGUACUAAUGACCCGUGAGGCUUAACCUUA
rnacentral:rRNA from 3 species